UAUACAAAUUUUAGGGGUUUUGUAGUAUACAAUUUGUAAUGUUGAGUUUAACAGGAAAAUAUUUUUUUCAGACUUCUCUGGCAGAGUACAUGGAUCAUCUACCUUCUUAUGGAUCAUCUGCUUCAGAACGAGUCAGAAAUGGAAAAUAAACUGCUGACCAUUCUUGUAAGAAACCUAAUAUUCACAUGGAAGAACCUCAACAAAGAGAAAGGAAAGCAGAUGGAGUAUGUGGUGGAACAGGUCACAGGAGCACUCAAUAAAUGCAGCAGGAAUGCCUGCAAUGUGUUCAAGGUUGUCCUGGUCUGUCUGUACUGUGAUAAAGAUUUCACAGAGGACGACACAGCAGAACUACAGUGUGGACACAUGUUCCAUAUGUCCUGCUUAAAGGACAACAAUGACACUAACUGCAGGAAAUGCGAACAGGAAAUAAAUCAAGACUACAAACCAUGUGGAACUGUUGAUAAAGAAACAUUCCAGAAAGUGAACAGAUUUAGAAGGAAAUGUAACUCGUUUUUUGUGGAAUUCAUGUGGAACUUUGUCAGCAGCAAAAAACAACUGACUGACAAAGUAGUGGACAUAUUAAUGGACUAUGUAAAAGGUAUUUCAUCUACUGAAGGUACAGCCGAGCACUCUUCACUGCAGAACUUUAUGAAACCAGACGCUGUCCUACAGUCCUAUGUACUGAAGAUUCUACUAAAAUGCGGAAUGGAAGAAACAGCCUCUCAGUUACAGAGAUUCAUUGAAGAAGUUGUGAAAUCUAAUGAGAGGAAUCCUGAUGAAUUGUACUUCAUCAUUGUGCGCAGCAUUGAGGUUCGUUUCUCACUGACACU
rnacentral:lncRNA from 1 species